GCCAGUGACACCGAGCGGUACUUUCGAUUUGAAAUCGGAAAUUUUGUUUUUAUCACAACAUUGGCU
rnacentral:tRNA from 1 species